AGAACAUAUACUCAGCAGUGGUCCAGUGGGCCUACGGAGCAUCUGUCCAGAACCCUCAUGAACUCUUUUAAUCAAUAAAUACUCUGAAGUACCAGGAAUUGCCUCUCUGACCAACAGUUACUGUAAAUCUUGUGCCAUUUGUGCCAAGGGCAACUCAAGAAGAAUGGAGGAAAGCCCCAAGCAUCUAGCCAAACCUCAUUAUCUCUUCCAGAGGAGUCAAGUCGACUACAUCCAGAAUGCCAAAGAAUGGCUGAUUCAAAUAUGCACUAAUUAUAGCAGAC